UACAUGGGGUGCAAACGUUGCUCGGAAUUAUUGGGCGUAAAGCGCGUGUAGGCGGGCCGAUAAGUCAGGCGUGAAAUCCCCGAGCUCAACUCGGGAACUGCACCUGAAACUGCCGGCCUAGAGUGAUGGAGAGGGUAGCGGAAUUCCUGGUGUAGAAGUGAAAUUCGUAGAUAUCAGGAGGAACACCGGUGGCGAAGGCGACUACCUGGACAUUAACUGACGCUGAGACGCGAAAGCGUGGGGAGCAAACAGG
rnacentral:rRNA from 1 species